CGCAUGUAUGCCUUUAGCAGCUGGAUGUCUCGCUUCUGUUGGAGGGAAGGAGAACCAGGGAUGAUGGGAAAAUACAACUGACUCUGGUCUGGCAAGGCUGGUAGAGAAAUGACCUAUUGAAGGUGGCAGCUUUCAUAUCAAAAUGCAGAGUACAUGGCUGCAUCAAAAACUGGUUUUUCCAAUAAAUCACAGGAAGAAAACAGCACCAGUUUUCUCUUAGGAAUCAUAUCCUGGUUCCUAUUGGGCAUGUGACCCAGCCCAGGACAGUGAGAGUGAUGUCUGGGACUUCUACUGGAGCUCUCAAGGUGCGCUCUUUCCCCGGGAGUUGCAUAGCUGGUAGGAUGUACAACCCAGAGUGGCUGGUGACUCUCUCUGCCAUUGACGAGGAUAGCCUGCUUACAGAAUGAAGCCAAUAAUGAAGAAAGUAGACCUGAGAGACUGAAUUCAGAUGAGAUCAUUUGAGGUUCCGGAUUCAGCCAUGCCUGAAGCCACAAUCACCUUUCAAAUCAGUUACGUGAACCAAUAAAUUCUCUAUUAUGUUCAGGCUGGUUUAAGCCGGGUUUUUGUUUCUUUCAACUGAUAAAACUCUGAUUAAUACACAAAGCUAAUGGAUACAAGAAAUCACAAGGCCCCCACUGGAACCACUUAUCUUUCUUUACCCAUUUCAUAUUGGAACAAUGAUAGCCCGGGUCACUGCUACAAUUACACUGACCUCCAUCACCACCACUUCUCUAUAAACUCCAUCUAGGGCCUAUAGUUGAGGGCCUUGGGCUUACUAACAAUCCCUCUGAAACCAUCACUGUAAACCACCUUGGCCUGGCUCUCUCCUAUAAAAUGGGGCUGGGAGUGGGGCAUGUAUCAUAUAUUUGUCUCCCUUCAGACCUUAGACCUUCUGUUCCUAGGCUACAUAACAGAAAAAAAUAGAAGCAAAG